rnacentral:rRNA from 1 species
AAAGGCUCAGUAUAUCAGUUAUAGUUUAUUCGAUUGUGAAAUCCACAUGGAUAACUGUGGAAAAUCUGGAGCUAACACAUGCGAAAAAUGACUGUAUUCUCUUGGGAGUAUAGUUAUGCAUUUAUUAGUUUAGAACCAAUCAAGUUAAGGCCUGUGUCUUAGCUUGCAGUGGUGACUCUGAAUAACUGUGCCGAUCGUAUGGCCUAGAGCCGGCGACGUUUCGAUUAAAUUUCUGCCCUAUCAAUUUGUUGGUAAGGUAGUGGCUUACCAAGAUGAUUACGGGUAACGGGGAAUCAGGGUUCGAUUCCGGAGAGGGAGCCUGAGAAACGGCUACCACAUCCAAGGAAGGCAGCAGGCGCGCAAAUUACCCAAUCCAGACACUGGGAGGUGGUGACGAGAAAUACCAGGUCGUUCCCACAAGGAUUCGACACUGGAAUGAAUGUAAUUUAAAAAUUUUAUUGAGUAGCAACUGGAGGGCAAGUCUGGUGCCAGCAGCCGCGGUAAUUCCAGCUCCAGUAGUGUAUCCCAAAGUUGCUGCGGUUAAAACGCUCGUAGUUGGACAAGAGAGUAACUCGGUGCAGGCGGGGAGUGUUAAUACAAUUCGCUUAAAAUAAUCUUCGGAUUGUUUUAUUGAGUUUUGUACCACUUGUCGACUUUGCAGCUGGGUUGCUUAGAUUAUUUUGUGAGAGCAUUCUAUGGCCUUAAUUGUGCUGUAUUAUGUGUCUUGCAUAGCGUGCCUUGAAUAAAUCAGAGUGCUCAAAGCAAGCUUGCGCUUGAAUGUUAAUAGCAUGGAACGAAUGUUUUGUGAAUGCAAUGCUUAAAGUUUUCGAACUGAGAGUGUUGUAGCACCAACCACGAAGCAGAGCAUUGGUUGCUGUCUUCGGGUGAUGAUUAAGAGGGGCAUUUGGGGGCAUUAGUAUUUGGACGCGAGAGGUGAAAUUCUUAGACCGUCCAAGGACUAACAAGUGCGAAAGCAUUUGCCAAGUUUGUUCCCUUUAAUCAAGAACGAAAGUGAGAGGAUCGAAGACGAUCAGAUACCGUCGUAGUUCUCACCGUAAACGAUGCCAACCCGGGAUCAGCUCGGAUUAUUAUAUAAGGAUCCAGGUUGGUCCCCCUGGGAAACCUUGAGUUUUUAGGUUCCGGGGGGAGUAUGGUUGCAAGGCUGAAACUUAAAGGAAUUGACGGAAGGGCACCACCAGGAGUGGAGCCUGCGGCUUAAUUUGACUCAACACGGGAAAACUCACCUGGUCCGGACAUCGAUAGGAUUGACAGACUAAUAGAUCUUUCAUGAUACGGUGGGUGGUGGUGCAUGGCCGUUCUUAGUUCGUGGAGUGAUCUGUCAGGUUGAUUCCGGUAACGAACGAGACCACGGUCUCCAUUUAGGUGUUCGUAAGUCAGGCAAUAAUAGUUGUAUUCAACUUGUUUGAAUAAACCUAUUUUUGUAUGAUUUACGUUGUAUGCAUAGUAAUGUGCAUUCCUAUGGAGAGACAGCCGGAACGAAGCCGGAGGAAGCGUGGCAAUAACAGGUCUGUGAUGCCCUUCGAUGUUCAGGGCUGCACGCGCGCUACAAUGAUAAUGACAACGAGCAUCUGGGCUGAAAAGUUCUGGGGAAUCUUGUAAAUCAUUAUCGUGAUGGGGAUUGAGCAUUGUAAUUAUUGCUCAUGAAAUAGGAAUUCCUUGUAUUUGCAACUCACUCAGGUUGCGAAGAAUCAGUCUCUGCCCUUUGUACACACCGCCCGUCGCUACUACCGAGUGAAUGGUGUCAUGAUGUCUUGGGA